AUUGAACGCUGGCGGCAUGCCUUACACAUGCAAGUCGAACGGCAGCGGACCUUCGGGUGCCGGCGAGUGGCGAACGGGUGAGUAAUAUAUCGGAACGUACCUUUCAGUGGGGGAUAACGUAGCGAAAGUUACGCUAAUACCGCAUAUUCUGUGAGCAGGAAAGCAGGGGAUCGCAAGACCUUGCGCUGAUUGAGCGGCCGAUAUCAGAUUAGCUAGUUGGUGAGGUAAAGGCUCACCAAGGCGACGAUCUGUAGCGGGUCUGAGAGGAUGAUCCGCCACACUGGAACUGAGACACGGUCCAGACUCCUACGGGAGGCAGCAGUGGGGAAUUUUGGACAAUGGGCGGCAAGCCUGAUCCAGCCAUGCCGCGUGAGUGAAGAAGG
rnacentral:rRNA from 1 species